ACUCCUACGGGAGGCAGCAGUGGGGAAUAUUGGACAAUGGGGGAAGCCCUGAUCCAGCCAUGCCGCGUGUGUGAAGAAGGCCUUAUGGUUGUAAAGCACUUUAAGCGAGGAGGAGGCUACUGAGACGUAAUACNCUGGAUAGUUGGACGUACUCGCAGAAAUAAGCACCGGCUAACUCUGUGCCAGCAGCCGCGGUAAUACAGAGGGUGCGAGCGUUAAUCGGAUUUACUGGGCGUAAAGCGUGCGUAGGCGGCCAUUUAAGUCAAAAUGUGAAAAUCCCCCGC
rnacentral:rRNA from 1 species